UCUUAGUGGCGACGGGUGAGUAACGCUGGGGAACCUGCCCUGUACAGGGGGAUAACACUUAGAAAUAGGUGCUAAUACCGCAUAAGCGCACAGGGCCGCAUGGCCCGGUGUGAAAAACUCCGGUGGUGUAAGAUGGACCCGCGUCUGAUUAGCUUGUUGGCGGGGUAGGGGCCCACCAAGGCGACGAUCAGUAGCCGGCCUGAGAGGGUGGACGGCCACAUUGGGACUGAGACACGGCCCAAACUCCUACGGGAGGCAGCAG
rnacentral:rRNA from 1 species